CAGCCGCCGCGGGAAUACGUAGGGUGCGAGCGUUAAUCGGAUUUACUGGGCGUAAAGCGUGCGCAGGCGGCCCGUUAAGACAGGUGUGAAAUCCCUGGGCUCAACCUAGGAAUUGCGCUUGUGACUGGCGGGCUCGAGUACGGUAGAGGGGGGUGGAAUUCCUGGUGUAGCAGUGAAAUGCGUAGAGAUCAGGAGGAACACCGAUGGCGAAGGCAGCCCCCUGGGCCUGUACUGACGCUCAUGCACGAAAGCGUGGGGAGCAAACAGGAUUAGAUACCCCGGUAGUCCCUGUCUCUUAUAC
rnacentral:rRNA from 1 species